ensembl:snoRNA
UGCAGCUGUGUCAAAUUCAUUGCCUGCCUUUUCCAUGGUUGGCAUUGGCCCAAACAGCUGCCACAGCAAUAUUUGUAGUUCAUGGGCCUCGGAACUCUUUGUGGGUUCUGGGGAUAGUUUUUCUGCAAACACUG